GAUGAACGCUGGCGGCGUGCCUAAUACAUGCAAGUCGAGCGAACAGACGAGGAGCUUGCUCCUCUGACGUUAGCGGCGGACGGGUGAGUAACACGUGGAUAACCUACCUAUAAGACUGGGAUAACUUCGGGAAACCGGAGCUAAUACCGGAUAAUAUAUUGAACCGCAUGGUUCAAUAGUGAAAGACGGUUUUGCUGCCACUUAUAGAUGGAUCCGCGCCGCAUUAGCUAGUUGGUAAGGUAACGGCUUACCAAGGCAACGAUGCGUAGCCGACCUGAGAGGGUGAUCGGCCACACUGGAACUGAGACACGGUCCGGACUCCUACGGGAGGCAGCAGUAGGGAAUCUUCCGCAAUGGGCGAAAGCCUGACGGAGCAACGCCGCGUGAGUGAUGAAGGUCUUCGGAUCGUAAAACUCUGUUAUUAGGGAAGAACAAAUGUGUAAGUAACUAUGCACGUCUUGACGGUACCUAAUCAGAAAGCCACGGCUAACUACGUG
rnacentral:rRNA from 1 species